rnacentral:rRNA from 1 species
GACGAACGCUGGCGGCGUGCUUAACACAUGCAAGUCGAACGGGCCCGCUCUCUUUUUUGGGGGUGGGUUGAGUGGCGAACGGGUAAGUAUCACGUGAGUAACCUGCCCCCUGCUCCUGGAUAACUGCUUGAAAGGGCGGCUAAUACGGGGUGUGCCGGCUGGUCCGCAUGGGCCUGGUCGGGAUAGUUUCAUCUUCGGGUGUUUCGGUGGGGGAUGGGCUCGCGGCCUAUCAGCUUGUUGGUGGGGUGAUGGCCCACCAAGGCGGUGACGGGUAGCCGGCCUGAGAGGGUGGGCGGCCACACUGGGACUGAGACACGGCCCAGACUCCUGCGGGAGGCAGCAGUGGGGGGUAUUGCACAAUGGGCGGAAGCCUGAUGCAGCGACGUCGCGUGAGGGAUGGAGGCCUUCGGGUUGUGAACCUCUUUCUCCGGUGGUGAAGGCCCUGUCCGUUGCGGCGGGGUUGACGGUAGCCGGGUAUGAAGCGCCGGCUAACUACGUG